rnacentral:rRNA from 1 species
GACGAACGCUGGCGGCGUGCUUAACACAUGCAAGUCGAACGGAAAGGCCCUGCUUUUGUGGGGUGCUCGAGUGGCGAACGGGUGAGUAACACGUGAGUAACCUGCCCUUGACUUUGGGAUAACUUCAGGAAACUGGGGCUGAUACCGGAUAGGAGCUCCUGCUGCAUGGUGGGGGUUGGAAAGUUUCGGCGGUUGGGGAUGGACUUGCGGCUUAUCAGCUUGUUGGUGGGGUAGUGGCUUACCAAGGUUUUGACGGGUAGCCGGCCUGGGAGGGUGACCGGCCACAUUGGGACUGAGAUACGGCCCAGACUCCUACGGGAGGCAGCAGUGGGGAAUAUUGCACAAUGGGCGGAAGCCUGAUGCAGCAACGCCGCGUGCGGGAUGACGGCCUUCGGGUUGUAAACCGCUUUCGCCUGUGACGAAGCGUGAGUGACGGUAAUGGGUAAAGAAGCACCGGCUAACUACGUG